ensembl:lncRNA
AACCUUUAUGAUUCUGUGAUUCUAUAAUCAUGUUACAGGAAAAUUAUGAGAUGGAAUACUUGACAGGGUUAACAGGAGAAACUUUGUGAAUGUCCAGUGAGUUAGUUUACCAGCUUAGCAUAGAUCUUCACUGGCUUGAAGAUGAUGACCGCUUCCUUAGACACUUCAGUGCAGAACUUGGAUGAAGGAGAAGCCUCUGAGAAGAGCUCUGAGUCAACUUGAUGCCUUAGGAACUAGAUCCUGAAGGAUGCUGAGGAUCUUUAAUGCCAAGAGUUGCUGAAGUUUUUCACCAGGAGGUAUUACUGAGCCAUCCUGCCAGGGUCCUCUGCCCUCCUUUCUGCGCUGGAAGUCAAUGCUCAAUCCUCUGAGCCCUGUGCUGUGAUGACGUGCGGGUGAUCACCGGGCCCUGGUUUUAUUUCUUGAAGUCAACAGCAGAAGCAAAGAUGUCCUGGGAGAGGGGAAUUCGUGCCCUUAGAAUAGCUGCGUGGAUGAAACAGAGGAUGAAAAAGCUUGAACACAAAUGUCUUGAUAAUAAACACAAAUGUGUUUAUUGCCAUCUAUUAAAGUGGGAUUUCUGCAAUUACAGUAAGAUGCUGCCAAGGAAGAAUAUGUGGAAUACAAGUGAAUGCAGUGCUGAUGAGGGUCCUGAAGUCCCACAAGAGUAGAAGUUGAGCCACUGGUGUGACUGAGGCAGGACACUGAAGCAAAGUGCUCAGCGGGCAGAGCCAUCCAUCCCUGGUGGGCGAGAAAUGAGCGCUGCUGGUGGCAGCCAGAGGAGUGCUGGGGCACUGCUGAGCGGGAGCGAUCUGGUACGGACAGCAGUGACCGAGAAAUCUCUCUCCCUCACUUCUAUCAGUGUGUCAGCUGCAUUCUCCCCUGCUCUUUCUCUGUGUCUGCAACACACAGAGCACCUGCGACGUCAGCUGGGGUCCCUGUGCUGCUUCAUAACACACCAUAAGGAAAAAAUGUCACAGAUGAAGGCCAGGCAGGCCUCAUUACUGUGACGGUGUAUCAGAUGCCACCAGAGCAAGGGGAACAAACAAGCUUUGUACGGAAUCAGUCUGUUGCAUACCCGCCUCAUUUUUAUGAAUAAUGGGUACGUUCUCAUAGUGUAGCAUGGUAAUUACCUUUUUUUAACUUACUAUAAAGGCUGAAGUAUGUCUGCUGAUGCUGCUUUAUCUGUUCACUUCAAAUCAAUGGUAUUGUGAAAUACAACUUCACAUAACU